rnacentral:rRNA from 1 species
UACAGAGGUGGCAAGCGUUGUUCGGAAUUACUGGGCGUAAAGGGCGCGUAGGCGGUCUUGCAAGUCCUGUGUGAAAUCCCUCGGCUCAACUGAGGAACUGCACAGGAAACUGCUUGGCUUGAGUUCGGGAGAGGGAAGCGGAAUUCCGGGUGGUAGCGGUGAAAUGCGUAGAUAUCGAGAGGAACACCUGCGGCGAAGGCGGGUAGCUGGCCGACACUGACGCUGAGGCGCGAAAGCCAGGGAGCGAACGGG